rnacentral:rRNA from 1 species
UGGCGACCGGCGCACGGGUGAGUAACGCGUAUCCAACCUCGUCCCUUUACUAGUGGGACACGCCCGUACGAAGGCGGAUUAAUACCGUAUGUUGUCACGUUGAUGCAUAUUUUCAUGACCAAAGGCUUCGGCCGGUAAAGGAUGGGGAUGCGUCUGAUUAGCUUGCCGGCGGGGUAACGGCCCACCGGGGCGACGAUCAGUAGGGGUUCUGAGAGGAAGGUCCCCCACAUUGGAACUGAGACACGGUCCAAACUCCUACGGAAGGCAGCAG